rnacentral:lncRNA from 1 species
GCAUGUUCAAGAGCUAGGGUGUGCUACGGGUGCUGUGCUGGUUGGUGUUUUAGGGUCUACCUAUCUAGCCACACAUGCACUGUCUUUUUUUUGUUUUCAUUUCCUUAGUAUUUCAUAUUUGCUUUUAAAUCUUGAAAUAGGAAUGCAUAUUAGUGAACUUUUCCGUCACAGUCCUGGGGACUGUAGAGGGCCAUCUGUGUCGUUCAUGAUGUGCCAUAUCAACUCAGAUUUGAGCUUUUAGCAGGAAAGUAAAGCAUUACUGAGACAGCCAAUCCCACAGUGAGUCAGGGUGAGAGGACCCUGCGUUACAGCGGAGUCCAGCACAGUUUACUAAGCCUGAAGCAUGUGAUAACAGUUAACUGAAAGAGAUUAGUAUGUUAACUAAGAAGUGUCCAUGCUCUGACUUGGAUAGAUUAAAUCAAAACUAUAGUGUUCACCGGGAAUAGGCACAUUGCUGUCCCCUCCCAUUCGUGGUUCACUGACUAGAAUUCCUGAACACAAUGCUUAACAGCUUCAGGUUGUUUUCUAGACAUGAAAUGAACCGAUCUCAGCCUUUCUCAACAGAACAAUAGUUUUUAUGAGCUCUGGAGGACUAAGUCCUAUUUGUUUUCCUUCAUUUCUUUAGGCAUAAAAUGUUUUAGAUACAAACUUCUAUGUGCUUUUAUGAUUCUUUGUUUUAGCCAGUUGGUUUAUUGUUAGGAACAUGGAAAUUUCAUGGUUGUAAAAGUUUCCUGGAGGGGCUGGAGAGAUGGCUCAGCGGUUAAGAGCACUGAUUGCUCUUCUGAAGGUCCUGACUUCAAAUCCCAGCAACCACAUGGUAGCUCACAACCAUCCAUAAUGAGAUCUGGCGCCCUCUUCUGGUGCGUCUGAAGACAGCUAUAGUGUACUUACAUAUAAUAAAUAAAUAAAUCUUAAAAAAAAAAAUUCCCUGGAGACUGAAGGCCACCUCUGUCUUCCCCUGUCAGGUGAGCCGGUCCUUGCUUGGGUGACAUCAGUUCUGAAUGCCUUGCUUAUUGAUGGCCCUUUCCCUCUAUGAUCUUCAUGGGCACUCCCCUUCCACUGCAUGCAUGCCUGUGGUGUCUUCUGACCUUAUAAAGCUUUCCCUCUUCCUCCUGCUCCUCCUCUCCCUCCUCCUCCUCUUCUCUUCUUCCUCCUCAUAGGUGGUAGUUGGGGCUUUGUAUCUUUAAUGAAGAAACAAACCGCUUCAGUAGUAGAAGGAAGAGAUGUUGGAGUUAGAGGAUGCCUUAAGUUGGCAAUGGGCAGAGUAUUAGCUUUUAAAGGAUUCUUUUAUGAUAUAGUACUCACAUGAUCUUGUAUAAAAAACAAGAUUACAUGUUUUUUGUUUUGUUUUUGUUUUUUAACCUACAAGAAGCCAUGUGUUGGGACUGUGCAUGAACCUUUAUUCCAAGCACUCAGAGACAGACACAGAAUCUGUGUGUUCUAGGCCAGCCUAGUCCACAUAGUGAGCCCCAGGAUAGCCAGGAUUAUAUAGAGAACCUGUCUCAAAACACCAAGGCGUGUGUCAGGAGAAGACAUGCAUGUUUGUACUUAACGGCUGUUGGCCAGGACUUGAAUGAGAACUGAGAUUCUCGAGAAACUGUAGAUUAAAAUCUGUUAUAUUCUCAGUUGGUUAGUUUUCAUCUCCAUAUCAUCAACUUCAUUAUGUCAAGUUCGUCUUUGCGUUUGUUAUCACCUCUGUAAGCUUGAAUAACAUGAUAAAAUUGUUUUACAUUUGGCAAUUAUGACAUAAUAGCUCAACGAGUGUUAGUCUCUACAGUCUUCACUUCGUACCUUCGGAGGCUUCCUGUUCUCUCUGAUGUCCUUAGAUAUUUCUCCUGUCAGUUUGGAGCACUUUAAACAAUAAGAAGUUAAAGAGAUCGUGUCCUGGGAUGGCCUCUUGUUUCAGUACCUUCUGAAAUUCUUCAUAGUUUCUAGUUCUACAGGAUAUUCAUUCAUUCAUUCAUUCAUUCAUUCUCUCUCUCUUCCCUCCCCCACAGCUCUCCCCCAUCCCCCCAUCUAACAGAGGCAGGUGCAUGCUUGUAAUCUUAGGAUCUGGGGGUGAAGGUAAGAAGAUAGGAAGGUCAACACUUGGGUCAGCCUCCACUGCAUACCAGUUCACUGCCCAUUUGAGCUAGGAGGCUGACUAGGAGGAAAGGGAAGCAAUCCCAAACAGACACCCAAAACCUAAAGAGCAGCAAGAGUUUGAAGCAAAUUCCAAGUAUCAUUUCAUUUUGUGUUAAGAACGAGG